rnacentral:lncRNA from 1 species
AGUCAUUCUUCUGGCAAACAUAUGUGGAAGGCCUCCUGUGUAGCAGACCCUUUACCAUGCCCUGGAGAUGCUGGGGUGCGACAAAAAAGUAGGCUUCUCCCAUGAUGAACCUCACGGUUGGAGGCAUCUGUCCACCCAUGUGGUUCCAGACACGUUCAUGUGGCCACCAUGACCCCGUCGGCAUCACAGGAGUAACCAAGAGAGCAGCAAGUUCCUGGGACAGAGGAGACAGAAGGGAAUUUCCAGGUUCUUCAGGACGUUCACAACCACACUGAGAAGCAUCUUUGCAGAUAAGUAUUUAAACUUACCAGCCCAUAGCCUACCAGCCUGCCCUCUUCUGGUCUGUGCAGGAAAGUGUAGUAUCCUAGAAUACCAAAGUGGGAGGGGAAAUGGGUGAUGUAGCUCAUUCUCUUUUCUACCUCUAUGGAAGAAAGAAAGAGCCUGUCCCCAUUUUGUGGGGUCCCAGAAAGGGUGAUUUUCACACUUCACAUUUGGCAUUAGGGCUAGUAUUUUACAAACAUUACCGUCUGGAACUUUUGAAGGCUGAGUUAAAUGACUUCAUCUUGUGUACUUGUAGAA